GAUUAACGAGAUUCCCACUGUCC
rnacentral:siRNA from 1 species